rnacentral:rRNA from 1 species
AGAGUUUGAUCCUGGCUCAGGAUGAACGCUGGCGGCGUGCUUAAUACAUGCAAGUCGAACGGAGUAUGUAGCAAUACGUACUUAGUGGCGAACGGGUGAGUAACGCGUUGGUGACCUGCCUCGAAGCGUGGGAUAACAGUCCGAAAGGAUUGCUAAUACCUCAUGUGAUUGUAGGGUUUAGAAGCCUACAAUUAAAGGAUUUAUUCACUUCGAGAGGGACCUGCGUACCAUCAGCUAGUUGGUGAGGUAAUGGCCCACCAAGGCGAUGACGGUUAGGGGACCUGAGAGGGUGGCCCCCCACAAUGGAACUGAAACACGGUCCAUACACCUACGGGUG